rnacentral:tRNA from 2 species
UGUUGGCAUAGUUCAUCGGUUGCUGCCCAUAUGGUUGCUGGCCAUAUGGCGAGCCGUUCAUAGGCUGCUGCCCAUAA